rnacentral:lncRNA from 1 species
GUGGUCGGCCUGGCUCCAGCUGAUUGGCUUCUCUGACCAGUGCAUGAAUUCGGGGGUGCUAGUGGCGACUGCAUUAACUUCUUGAUGCUGUCUGCGCCGACUGCGCUUGUCAUCGGCUUGACUGGUGAAGACGACGUAGGCGGCAUGCUCUUCGGGGAAUUCGUCUUGGAUGGCGUCGACUGCCGGCCGGGCCGCCGGCUGCUGGGGGCUGGAGGCGGCGGACCGGGAGGCGGAGGCGGCAACAUCCCCUCGCCCUUGGUGAUGCGGGUAAGCCAAUGGCAUUUCCGGGUUGUGUGGUUGGACGGCUUCGCGCCGCUGUGGAACUUGCAGGGGGCGUCGAGAGCUUGCUCGUAGGAGAAAGACGGCUGCCAAGCCGGCCUGCCACCCUUCUUCUUAGGAGCGGGCCGUUCUUCGGGCUGCUCGUCUUCAACUGUGGCCACCUGCCGACUGGUGGAAGUCGGCAUGGGGGCCUUGCGCUUGUGAUCGUUCUGGUAAGGGCGCCGAUUGGGGUCGCCAGCCGGCGUCUUGGGAGCCGGAGCAAUCACCUUCCCAGAGGCGUCUACUCGCAGCUCGGUCUUCAUUGAGGAGUCGGCUGUGGCGUAUUUGUCCGCGGUGAUCAGCAACUCGUCGAGGGUAGCCGGCUCGUCGCAAAGGAGUCGGUGCUUGAGGAGGGUGCCCUCUCGGCACCCGGCGGUGAAGUACUCGAUGGCCUGGACCUCAUGCACCCCCUCGCAGGAGUUGCGGAGCUCGGCCCACCGCGUGAGGUAGUCGCGGGUUGACUCGUUGGGCCCUUGGACGCAGAGGGAGAGCUGGCGAGGCUUGAGAGGCCGCUUGUAGGUGCUGGUGAAGUUGCGGACGAAGACUUCUGUGAAGUCCAGCCAACUGUGUAUGCUGUAGGGCUUGAGGCUAUUGAGCCAUGUGCGCGCCGUGUCUUGCAGCAUGAGGGGGACGUACUUCCCGGUGACGCGCCGAUUGCCGUUGGCUAUGCUGACGGCCGUGGAGUAGUCAAUGAGCCAAUCCUCCGGCUUCACUGAGCCGUUGUACUUGGGCGUGUCUCUGGGGAGCGAGAACCCUUUGGGGAAGGGCUCGUCGCGGAUGCGGGGGCCAAAGCAUGGCGGGCCGACAUCGUCUUCUUCUUCUAACGCCAAGGAUCGAGCAAGGCGGUCGAUCCUGUGGCGGGCGUCGUUCUCGCCGACUCCUUCUCGCCAGCCGAGUCGGUCACCAAGAGUCGGGUGUGUGAUAGGCAGCGGAGUGAGGCGUCUUUCUCUUCGAGGCGGGGGAGGAGGCAGAUUUCCUUGGUGCUCUACUGCUCGACGGCGGCCCUCCGCGUCGCGCUCGAUGGUGAUGCGAGUCUGGCUGCGGCUGGCAGCCGGCUCCUUGUCUUUCUUCUGGUGUGCGCCGCUCGCAGUCGGCGAGCGGGACGUUGCGGCGUGCUCUCGGCGCGGGGGAUGACUAUCAGCGCGAGCGCCAGCUUCGUGCAGUUCUGCAGCCGCGUCGAUCAGCUAUUGGAUCCAUCUUGUCAUGUAGGGGAGCUCAUCGGCUCCCAGCCCAUUGAGCUCUUCUGCAGCCGCCUGAGCGGCUCGCAGAUUCUCGAGUGGGGUGGCGUAGACGGGGCGAUCUGCCCCCAGCAUGCUGGCGACGGCCGCGCCGCGCUUCUGGACGAAGCCGGCUCGGCUCGGGCCGCUAGGCGGCGGCGUGCCGAAGGCGGCGCGGUCGACUUCGUGCUGGUGGGCCUUGGUGAGGCGUCUCAUGGAGGCUAUCUUCUGGCCCUCCACGAUGAGGGCGAGGCGGCGUGCCUCCAGGGUCUCGGCAUCGGCAUCGGCUGGGAUGGUGACGGAGAGGUCGUGCAUCGCCGCUUGCAGGGCAUCGUGGGCGUUCUCGCCCGAGUUGGCGACGUGGCUGAUGACCAGCACUUCGGUGACAGCGCUGCUGCCGCUGUCAGCUCGAGGGAGAGGGUCGUCGAAGACCACCACGUCGGAGGGGUAGGCGUCAAGCGAUGCUGUGUCGGAGUCGACAAGCAUCGGGUCGGUGGAGCCGACCGACUCCACAUCUGCAGCAGGCUCGCUGGAGACGUGAAGCUGGUCGAGGAGGCUGACGAGGCGGCUCUCGGGGUAGUCUGUGCCUGCGUCGGAUGCAGGCUCGUCGGAGAUGCGAGUCCCACCGAGCAGAUCGGCAAGGCAACUCGCUGCGCAGGCGGCGUCGACGCCUUGCAGCGCGUCGAGGCAAACGCCAUCGGGCGCAGCAGGCUGGCUGCGCUCGCGGGGGAGGAAGAGGGUUCCCGUCCAGAACAGGUCUCCGGACGACGGUGCACCUGGCCCCACGGUGGGCGCCAAAUGUCGGGUGGUUGGUCGACAUAUGCCAACGGAUGGCUUAUCAUUGUGGGUGCCAAUAAAACAUCGCCGGUGCCUGGAAACGGGAUAAGGCGAAGACAUGCACGCCGGCGGAUCUUACCCAGGUUCGGGGCUCUCCGAGGAGAUAACACCCCUAGUCCUGCUCUGCGGGGUCUCCGCAUGAUCACUAGAUCAAGGAAAGGUAGCUACAAUCGCUCCUAGAGCUGUUGGGUUCAAGGGAGAAGAAGAACAAGGCUAGCUCUUGCUUCUCUCUAUCUCUAUGGUGUGUGUGCUGUGUUCAGAAGCCAACCCUUUGCAUGGGUGCUCCGGGGGGUUUAUAUAGGCCUACCCCCCGGGGGUACAAUUGUAAUCCGGCUGGGCUCUGGUCCCAGCCGUCAGUGUCUACACUCACCGGCUUCUCCGCCGGCUGUUGGGGCCCGCCGACUGGUGGGUCCCGCCGGCUGCCGGCCUCUUGGCUGACAGGCCGGCCCCACCGCCUAGGGUCUUGCCGGCGGCUGCUUACUGUAGCCUCGCCUCUGAUGACGAGGGCUUUGUCGAGGUAAGCGUGGCUACAGUGCGCCGCCUCGGGGGCUCUCACUGUAGCCUUACCUCGUCUUGUCUCCUUAAUGGGGCUCCUGCUUCGAGGAAGGGGGUAGCCGGCUUCUAGGGGCUGGCUACGCCCUUGGCCGACUGGGGGAGGCCGGGCCGCCUCCGCGCCUCUCUCUGGCGGAAGGGGCCCGCCGCCCGCGGGCCGUACAGGAGUCGGUCGUGGAUGACGUUGAGGCUGGCAUGGCUACAGUGCCGAGCCGAACAGGAGACGGUCAUCCCGUACGGCCUCCUGUGGCCAUGCCUGCCUCGGGCCUCGGGGGUAGUGGGCCGCACUGCGGCCACGCCCCGUCUUGUCACCGUUAUGUGGGUGUAGCUUUGGUGGUUGUGAUCUCGGCCGACUGCUUGGAGUCGGCGCUCUUCUUGGCCGGCUCCCUGGAGUCGGCCACCCCGUGGUUGUCCUGGGGGGAGGUCGUUGAGGCUGGGUCGCCUUCCGGGAGUCGGCUUCAGAGGUAGUCGGCCAGGGAAGGCAGCCCAAUGCUUGGAGUGCUUGGAGGCCCAAAGGCCUGAUAAUUUUUCAGAAGAACCAGGGGCAGUCGGUUCGGCUACCCGUGGCCAUUUACUCCGACAGUUACGAUAGUUGUAGAAGCAAUAGUUGGCGAGACGACCACGAUGCUUGAUGGAGUUGUCGAGCCGGUGACAAUGGAGAUCAAGGCGAUACUUUGAAGAUGGAGAUCAAAAGCACAAGAUGAUGAUGGCCAUUUCAUGUCACAUAUUUUGAUUGCAUGUGAUGUUUAUCUUUUAUGCAUCUUAUUUUUCUUAGUACGGAGGUAGCAUUAUAAGAUGACCCCUUAACUAAAAUUUCAAGGUAUAAGUGUUCUCCCUGAGUAUGCACCGUUGCGACAGUUCGUCGUGUUGAGACACCACGUAAUGAUCGGGUGUGAUAGACUCUACGUUCACAUACAACAGGUGCAAGACGGUUUUGCACAUGCGGAAUACUCGGGUUAAACUUGACGAGCCUGGCAUGUACAGACAUGGCCUCGGAACACUGCAGAACGAAAGGUCAAACGUGAAUCAUAUAGUAGAUAUGAUCAACAUAGAGAUGUUCACCAUUGAUGACUACUCCAUCUCACAUGAUGAUUGGACAUGGUUUAGUUCAUUUGGAUCACGUAUCAUUUAGAUGACUUGAGGGAUGUCUAUCUAAGUGGGAGUUCUUAAGUAAUUUGAUUAACUGAACUUAAUUUAUCAUGAACUUAGUCCUGAUAUCAUUUGCAUAUCUAUGUUGUAGAUUAAUAGCUCGCGAUAUAGCUCCUAUAUAUUUUUGAUAUGUUCCUAGAGAAAAGUUGAAAGAUGAUAGUAGCAAUGAUGCAGACUGGGUCCGUGAUCUGAGGAUUAUCCUCAUUUUUUUGACUGGGAGGAUUAUCCUCAUUGCUGCACAGAAGAAUUAUGUCAUUGAUGCACCGCUAGGUGACAAACCUAUUGCAGGAGCAGAUACACAUGUUAUGAACGUUUUGCAAGCUCAAUAUGAUGACUACUUGUUAGUUUAGUGCGCCACGCUUUACGGCUUAGAACUGGGACUUCAAAAACUUUUUGAAUGCCAUGGAGCAUAUGAGAUGUUCCAAGAGCUGACAUUGGUAUUUUAGACUCAUGCCCAUGUCGAGAGGUAUGAGACCUCAGACAAGUACUUUGCCUACAAGAUGGAGGAGAAUAGCUCAACCAGUAAGCAUGUGCUCAGAAUGUCUGGGUACUACAAUCACUUGAAUCAAGUGGGAGUUAAUCUUCCAGAUAAGAUAGUGAUUGACAGAGUUCUCUAGUCACUAUCACCAAGCUACUAUAACUUCGUGAUGAACUAUAAUAUGCAAGGGAUAACAGAAAAGAUUCCCGAGCUCUUUGCGAUGCUGAAAUCGGCGAAGGUAGAAAUAAAGAAAGAGCAUCAAGUGUUGAUGGUUAACAAGACCACUAGCUUCAAGAAAAAAGGGCAAAGGAAAAGAAAGGGAACUUCAAGAAGAAUGACAAGCAAGUUGUCACGCCCGUGAAGAAGCCCAAAGCUAGACCUAAGCCUGAAACUAAUGCUUCUACUGCAAAGGGAAUGGUCACUGGAAGCGGAACUACCCCAAAUACUUGCCAGAUAAGAAGGAUGGCAAAGUGAACAAAGGUAUAUUUGAUAUACAUGUUAUUGAUGUGUACUUUACUAGUUUUCAUAGUAACCCCAGGGUGUCUGAUACCGGUUCAUUUUCUAAGAUUAGUAACUCAAAAUAGGAAUUGCAAAAUGAACAGAGACUAGUUAAGGGCGAGGCGAUGAUGUGUGUUGGAAGUGAUUCCAAGGUUGAUAAGAUCACCAUCGCACACCACCUAUACCUUCGGGAUUAGUGUUGGACCUAAAUAAAUGUUAUUUGGUGUUUGCGUUGAGCAUGAAUAUGAUUGGAUCAUGUUUAUUGCGAUACGGUUAUUCAUUUAAGUCAGAGAAUAAUUGUUGUUCGGUUUACAUGAAUAAAACCUUCUAUGGUCAUACACCCAAUGUAAAUGGUUUAUUGAAUCUCGAUCGUAGUGAUACACAUAUUCAUAAUAUUGAUGCCAAAAGAUGCAAAGUUGAUAAUGAUAGUGCAACAUAUUUGUGGCACUGCCGUUUAGGUCAUAUUGGUGUAAAGCGCAUGAAGAAACUCCAUCGAUUUUUGGAAUCACUUGAUUAUGAACCAUUUGAUACUUGCGGACCAUGUCUCAUGGGCAAGAUGACUAAAACUCCGUUCUCCGGAACAAUGGAGCGAGCCAAUGACUUACUGGGAAUAAUACAUACCGAUGUAUGCGGCCCGAUGAGUGUUGAGGCACGCGGCGGGUAUCGUUAUUUUCUGACCUUCACAGAUGAUUUGAGCAGCUAUGGGUAUAUCUACGUAAUGAAACACAAGUCUGAAACAUUUGAAAAGUUCAAGGAAUUUCAGAGUGAAGUGGAGAAUCAUCGUAACAAGAAAAUAAAGUUUCUACGAUCUGAUCGCGGGGGUGAAUAUUUGAGUUGCGAGUUUGUCCUUCAUUUAAAACAAUGUGGAAUAGUUUCACAACUCACGCCACCUGGAACACCACAGUGUAAUGGUGUGUCCGAACGUCGUAACCGUACUUUAUUAGAUAUGGUGCGAUCUAUGAUGUCUCUUACCGAUUUACCACUAUCGUUUUGGGGUUAUGCAUUAGAGACAGAUGCAUUCACGUUAAAUAGGGCACCGUCUAAAUCCGUUGAGACGCACCGUAUGAAAUAUGGUUUGGCAAGAAACCUAAGAUGUCAUUUCUUAAAGUUUGCGGUUGCGACACUUAUGUCAAAAGGCUUCAGCCUGAUAAGCUCGAACCCAAAUCGGAGAAGUGCAUCUUCAUAGGGUACCCUAAGGAAACAAUUGGGUACACCUUCUACCACAGAUCCGUAGGCAAGAUCUUUGUUGCCGAGAAUGGAACCUUUCUAGAGAAGGAGUUUCUCCGAAAGAAGUGAGUGGGAGGAAAGUAGAACUUGAUGAGGUAAUUGUACCUUCUCUCGAAUUGGAAAGUAGCACAUCAGUGAAAUCCGUUCCCAUGAUGCCUACACCAACUAGAGAGGAAGUUAAUGAUGAUGAUCACGAAACUUCGGAUCAGGUUACUACUGGACCUCGUAGGUCGAACAGAGCAUGUUCCGCACCAGAGUGGUAUGGUAAUCCUGUCCUGGAAGUCAUGUUAUUAGACCAUGGAGAAACUACAAACUUUGAACAAGCUAUGAUGAGCCCAGAUUCCGACAGAUGGCUUGAGGCCAUGAAAUCUGAGAUAGGAUCCAUGUAUGAGAACAAAGUGUGGACUUUGGUGGACUUGCCCUAUGAUUGGCAAGCCAUUGAGAAUAAAUGGAUCUUCAAGAGGAAUACGAACACUGAUAGUAGUGUUACUAUUUACAAAGCUCAAAUUGUUGCAAAAGGUUUUUGACAAGUUCAAGGUGUUGACUACGAUGAGAUUUUCUCACUCAUAGCGAUGCUUAAGUCUGUCCGAACCAUGUUAGCAAUUGCCACAUUUUAUGAAAUCUGGCAAAUGGAUGUCAAAACUGCAUUCCUUAAUGGAUUUCUUAAAGAAGAGUUGUAUAUAAUGCAACCAAAAGGUUUUGUCGAUCCUAAAGGUGCUAACAAAGUGUGCAAACUCCAGCGAUCCAUCUAUGGACUGGUGCAAGCAUCUCGGAGUUGGAAUAUACGCUUUGAUAAGGUGAUCAAAGCAUAUGGUUUUAUACAGACUUAUGGUGAAGCCUGUAUUUACAAGAAAGUGAGUGGGAGCUUUGUAGCAUUUCUGAUAUUAUAUGUGGAUGACAUAUUGUUGAUUGGAAAUGAUGCAGAAUUUUUGGAUAGCAUAAAAGGAUAUUUGAAUAAGAAUUUUUCAAUGAAAGACCUUGGUGAAGAUGCUUACAUAUUAGGCAUCAAGAUCUAUAGAGAUAGAUCAAGACGCUGAUAAGACUUUCAAUGAGUACAUACCUUGACAAGAUUUUGAAGGAGUUCAAAAUGGACCAGUCAAAGAAGGAGUUCUUGCCUGUAUUGUAAGGUGUGAAGUUGAGUAAAGACUGAAAACCCGACCACGGCAGAAGAUAAAAAGAGAAUGAAAGUCAUUCCCUAUGCCUCAACCAUAGGUUCUAUAAAGUAUGCCAUGUUGUGUACCUUGCCAUGAGUUUUGCAAGGGGGUACAAUAGUGAUCCAGGACUAGAUCACUGGACAGUGGUCAAAUUAUCCUUAGUUACCUUAAAGAGGACUAAGGAAAUGUUUCUCGGUUAUGGAGGUGAUAAAGAGUUCGUUGUAAAGAGUUACGUCGAUGCAAGCUUUGACACUGAUCUAGAUGACUCUAAGUAUCAAUCUAGAUACGUAUUGAACGUGGGAGGAAUUAGCUAGAGUAGCUCCAUGCAGAGCAUUGUAGACAUAGAAAUUUGCAAAAUACAUAUAUACGGAUCUGAAUGUGGCAGACCUGUUAACUAAACUUCUCUCACAAGCAAAACAUGAUCACACCUUAGUACUCUUUGGGUGUUAAUCACAUAGCGAUGUGAACUAAAUUAUUGACUCUAGUAAACCUUUCGGGUAUUGGUCGCAUGGUGAUGUGAACUAUGGGUGUUAAUCACAUAAAGAUGUGAACUAUUGGUAUUAAAUCACAUGGCGAUGUAAACUAGAUUAUUGACUCUAGUGCAAGUGGGAGACUCAAGGAAAUAUGCCCUAGAGGCAAUAAUAAAGUUGUUAUUUUAUAUUUCCUUAUAUCAUGAUAAAUGUUUAUUAUUCAUGCUAGAAUUGUAUUAACCGGAAACUUGAUACAUGCAUGGAUACAUAGACAAAAUACCAUGUCCUUAGUAAGCCUCUACUAGACUAGCUCGUUAAUCAAAGAUGGUUAAGUUUCCUAACCAUAGACAUGUGUUGUCAUUUGAUGAACGGGAUCACAUCAUUAGGAGAAUGAUGUGCGGACAAGACCCAUCCGUUAGCUUAGCAUAUUGAUCGUUCAGUUUUAUUGCUAUUGCUUUCUUCAUGUCAAAUACAUAUUCCUUCGACUAUGAGAUUAUGCAACUCCCGGAUACCGGAGGAAUAUGUUGUGUGCUAGAAAACGUCGCAACGUAACUGGGUGAUUAUAAAGAUGCUCUAUAGGUAUCUCCGAAGGUGUUUGUUGGGUUGGCAUAGAUCGAGAUUAGGAUUUGUCACUCCAAGUAUCGGAGCGGUAUCUUUGGGACCUCUCGGUAAUGCACAUCAUAAGAAGCCUUGCAAGCAAAGUGACUAAUGAAUUAGUUACAAGAUGAUGUAUUACGAAACGAGUAAAGAGACUUGCCGGUAACGAGAUUGAACUAGGUAUGUGGAUACCGAUGAUCGAAUCUCGGGCAAGUACAUACCGAUGGAUAAAGGGAAUAACAUAUGUUGUCAUAACGGUUCGACUGAUAAAGAUAUUCAUAGAAUAUGUAGAAGCCAAUAUGAGCAUCCAGGAUCCGCUAUUGGUUAUUGACCGGAGAGGUGUCACGGUCAUGUCUACAUAGUUCUCGAACCCGUAGGGUCCGCACGCUUAACGUUCGAUGACGAUUUAGUAUUAUAUGAGUUAAGUGAUUUGGUGACCAAAUGUUGUUCGCAGUCCCGGAUGAGAUCACGGACAUGACGAGGAGUCUCAAAAUGGUCAAGAGGUAAAGAUUGAUAUAUAGGACGAUGGUAUUCGGACACCGGAAGUGUUUCGGGGGUACCGGGUACUUAUCGGGUCACCAGAAGGCGUUCCGGGCACCCCCGGCAAAAGAUAUGGGCUUAAUGGGCCAAGGGAGGGACAGACCAGCCCACAAGGGGCUGGUGCGCCCCUCCACCAGGCCGGCCAGCCCUAGGGAAAGGAAAGGGGGGAGGGUAAGUCCCUCCUUCCUUCCUCUCCUCAAGGGAGAAAGGAAAGGGGGGGUGCCACAUCCCCCUUCCUUCCCCUCCUCAAGGGAGAAAGGAAAGGGGGUGCCACAUCCCCCUUCCUUCCCCUGGCGCCUAUACAAGGAAAGGGGGGCCGAACCAGGGCAAGAGCCCAAGUGGGAUUCGGCCCCACUUGGGGUGCCCCUUGGCCUCUCCCCUCUCCCUCCCUCCUAUAUAUAUGAGGAGGGGAGGCGCCUAGAACACACAACAUCAAUUGUUAGCCGUGUGCGGCGCCCCCCUCCAUAGUUUACACCUCCGGUCAUAUUCUCGCGGUGCUUAGGCAAAGCCCUAUGCGGAUCACUUCACCAUCACCGUCACCACGCCGUCGUGCUGACGGAACUCAUCUACUUCCUCGACACCUUGCUGGAUCAAGAGGACGAAGGACGUCAUCGAGCUGAACUUGUGCAAAACUUGGAGGUGUCGUACGUUCGAUCGAUGCUUGAUCGGUUGGAUCUAGAAGAAGUUCGACUACAUCAACCGCGUUGUCAAAACGCUUCCGCUUUUGGUCUACGAGGGUACGUAGACACACUCUCCCCCUCGUUGCUAUACAUCUCCUAGAUAGAUCUUGCGUGAGCGUAGGAUUUUUUUUUGAAAUUGCAUGCUACAUUUCCCAACACUAGGUCCAUCUUUGUUCCCUUUAAAGUUCUAAUUUUUGUGUCUGGAUUUAGGUCUGGUGAACCCUGCGUUGACCACAGUGUCUUCAUAUCACUUCCGCCAUUUUUGUACCUACGCUUGUUUUUAUUGCGCUUGGGUUUGCCAUUGGUGUUGCAUGUUUCCAAGGUGUCUGCCUCGCCAUUGUGAGAACUGCGGGCGAGCCUACUAUCCUCACCUGCACAGAAGUGGGUCAUCAGCGAGGUGAGGGCAGCCAUAGUCCUUGGCUUAUCCUGGCCGAGUUGACGGGCCAACCAUUCAUCUCAGAUAUUAUUCUUGAAUGCGGCGAUGGCCUCGGCUUCGGAGCAGUCUAUGAUCUGGUUCUUCUUCGUGAGGAACCUGUUCCAGAAUGUCUGGGCUGAUUCACCUGGCUGUUGGGCGGCAAUGCUGAGGUCAUCAGCAUCCGGAGGUCGGACUUACGUGCUCUGGAAGUUUGUGCGAAAACCGUCCUCGAGGGACUCCCAGCUGCCAAUAGAGUGAGGAGGCUUGUUGUUAAGCCAAUGCCUCGCGGGCCCCUUUAGCUUGAGUGGUAGAUAUUUAAUGGCAUGGAUAUAAUCUCCAUUGGCCAUGUGUAUGUGGAGGACGAAGUCCUCGAUCCAUACUACUGGAUCGGUGGUGCCAUCGUAUGAUUCUAUAUUGAUGGGCUUGAAUCCUUUAGGGAAUUGAUGUUCCAUCACCCGGUCUGUGAAGUAGAUGGAGUGGGCUGAAAGUGCAACUAAUCCCUGGGUGGUUUUGGUAAUUCUUAACAACAUAUAGCUCAUUGAACUAAUACUCUUUCAAGAUGAUCAUUUCAGAAAGUUCAAUGAUUGGCAUGGCAUGGACUAGAGAUGUGAACCCCUGAAAGCACAAGUGCUCCUUGGGUGGUUUUGGUAAUUAAUGUCAACAUAUCUCUUGUUGGACUAAUGCUUCUACCUAUUAUGUUUCAGAUAAGUUCAAAAAUGGAGUGGCAUGGACUAGAGGAUGUGGAACCCCUUCAAAAUGCUGAGGACAAAGGAUUGGAUCAAGCUCAAAACUCAGGACUCUACAUUUUCUAUUUUAGUGAUCCAAGAUCACAUUGAGUCCAUAGGAAAGCCAAUACUAUUAAGAGGGGAUGAGGUGUUGCUUAAUGGCUUGCUUGCUCAAAGUGCUUAGUGAUAUGCUCCAAAGCCCUCAACCACUUUCUCACAUCCACAUAUGUCCCAAACCAAAAGUCAAACUCGGCCCCACCGAAUCUUUCUAUCCGGCGCCACCGAGUUCUCUUGACAUAGCCACUGCCAGAAACCCUAAUCAAUUCGGUCUCACCGAUGGGAUCUCGGUCUCACCGAGAUGGGAUUGCAAACUCUCUGUUACCUAUUUGCAAUAAUUUCGGUCUCACCGAAAUAUGCAAUCGGUCCCACCGAGAUUGCAAUGCAAACUCUCUGUCACCCCUUCAUAACGUUUCAGUCCAACCGAGAUGAGGGAAUCGGUCUGACCAAGUUUGCCUGACCAACUCUCUGUUUGUCUAUUACCAAAAUCGGUCUCACCAAGUUUGUGUAAUCGGUCUCACUGAGAUUACGUUAUGCCCUAACCCUAACGAAAUUGGUCUCACCUAGUUGACGUGUCGGUCCCACCGAAAUGCCUAAUGGUCACAUUAUGAACUAAAUCGGUCCGACCGAGUUUCAUGAUUCGGUCCCACCGAGUUUGGUGAUUUGUGUGUAACGGUUAGAUUUUGUGUGGAGGCUAUAUAUACCCCUCCACCCACUCUUCAUUCAUGGAGAGAGCCAUUAGAACAUGCCUACACUUCCAACAUACAUUUUCUGAGACAGAACCACCUACACUUGUGUUGAGGUCAAGAUAUUCCAUUCCAACCACAUAAAUCUUGAUCUCUAGCCUUCCCCAAGUUGCUUUGCACUCAAAUCAUCUUUUCACCAAAUCCAAAUCUUGUGAGAGAGAGUUGAGUGUUGGGGAGACUAUCAUUUGAAGCACAAGAGCAAGGAGUUCAUCAUCAACACACCAUUUGUUACUUCUUGGAGAGUGGUGUCUCCUAGAUUGGCUAGGUGUCACUUGGGAGCCUCCGUCAAGAUUGUGGAGUUGAACCAAGGAGUUUGUAAGGGCAAGGAGAUCGCCUACUUCGUGAAGAUCUACCCUAGUGAGGCAAGUCCUUCGUGGGCGACGACCAUGGUGGGAUAGACAAGGUUGCUUCUUUGUGGACCCUUCGUGGGUGGAGCCCUCCGUGGACUCGCGCAACCGUUACCCUUCAUGGGCUGAAGUCUCCAUCAACGUGGAUGUACGAUAGCACCACCUAUCGGAACCACGGAUAAAAAAUCUCCAUGUCUCCAAAUUGCGUUUGCACACUCCAAUCCCAUCCCUUUACACUCUUGCAACUUGCAUGCUUUACUUUCCGCUGCUCAUAUACUCUUGUCAUGCUUGCUUGAUAUGUAUUGUGAAUGGUUAAACUUGUGCCAAAACUCCACAUCAACUUAAGGAAAUUAAAAACUGCAACUUUUCUUCUUAGAGUCUAUUCACCCCCCCCCCUCUAGACACCUCUUCUCAAUCCUUUCAAUUGGUAUCAGAGAUUUGGUCUCCAUUGCUUUUGUUUAAUCACCAUUGGAGGAAGAUGGAUAUGUCUACAUUGGGGAGUCUUAGACAUAGAGUGCCUAUUCUUGAUGGAGAGUUCUUUCAUGAAUGAAAAAAUGAGAUGCUUGAGAUUUUCAAUGAAUAUCAUUUGAACAAGUACAUUACUAGCCCUUGUGCACCUCAUGUUGAUCCUUUGCAUCCUACCCUUGAUGAGUCUACUGACAUGAUUCGCAACCUUAGAACUGUUAAUCUUAUCACUAGAGGAUUGCCUAGAAACUUGAUUGGAUGUUUGCCUACUCUUGAGUGUGCCUACACUAUAUGGAGAUUUCUUGAGGAAAGAUUUCCAAACUAUUCCUUGCAAAACUUAGAUGAAAUUCUCCAUAAAUCUAUUGCAUUGAGUAAGAUGAGUACUAGUGAUCCUAAAUUUGGUGAUUAUCUAUUUGAGCUUACCAAUCUCAUGCGUGCCAAAGGAGAUGCUGGAAUCAUUAGCAAUAUCAUAUCCGAAGCUAUUAGAAUUCAUAAAGAUGACUGUUGUGAUGAUCAUUUAUCUAAUGAAUUACCCUCUCUAGGAAUUGAUCAAAUACAAGACGAUGUUGAACAUGGAUACUAUGAUGAGGAUGAUGAUACUGACUAUGAUCUUGACGAUGCGACGAGACACUUUGGUCUUAUGGCUAAUCUUCGCGGCUACAUGGCUGGAGGAAAGGAAUGGGUCCGUGAUAGUGGAUGUACUGAUCAUAUGACCGGAGACAAGGAUAUGUUUCGUGAGCUUGCUGAAAACGACGGCCCUCGAAAGUAUGUCACCUUUGGUGAUAACUCAAAGGGUAAGGUGGUUGGCCUCAGUAAGGUGGCCAUCUCACAUGAUAGCUCCAUACAAAACGUCAUGCUCGUUGAAUCUCUUGGGUGCAAUUUACUUUCAGUAUCUAGACUUGCUGAUUUCGGUUUCAAUGUCCUAUUCACUGAAGUAGAUUGCCAAGUGUUUCGGAGAGACAAUCAUAAAAUGGUCUUUACCGGUAUACGUAGAGGUGAUCUUUACAUUGUCGAUUUCACUAAAAAGGCUCAACCUAGAACUUGCUUAAUUGCUAAAUCUUCUAAGGGCUGGCUAUGGCAUAGAAGGUUAGGUCAUGUGGGCAUGCGAAAUCUUGAUAAGCUUAUUAAAGGUGAUCAUCUCCUUGGAGUAAAAUAUGUUAUAUUUGACAAGGAUAGACUUUGUAGUGCUUCUCAAGCAGGAAAACAAGUUGGAGGGAGUUACCCCAUGAAGAACAUCGUGACCACGAGAAGACCGCUCGAGCUACUUCACAUGGAUCUCUUUGAUCCCAAUGCUUACAAGAGUCUCAGUGGUAACUCAUUUGGUCUAGUCAUAGUCGAUGAUUUUUCAAGUUUUACGUGGGUAUUCUUUCUAGAUGAUAAAUCGCAGGUCCAAAAGAUCUUCAAAAGCUUCGCUAGGAAGGCCCAAAAUCAAUUUGAAGUGAAGAUCAAGAAGGUUCGGAGCGACAACGGAACGGAGUUCAAGAACGUAAAUGUGGAUACCUUUCUUGACGAAGAGGGGAUUUCACACGAGUUCUCGGCCACGUACACACCUCAACAAAAUGGAGAUGUUGAGAGGAAGAACCGGACUCUUAUUGAGAUGGCAAGAACGAUGCUUAAUGAGUACAAGACUCCAAAACACUUUUGGGCGGAAGCGGUUGAGACAGCUUGUCAUGCAACAAAUCGCUUGUAUUUUCACAAGCUACUCGGCAAGACGGCAUACGAGCUCCUCACCGGUAACAAACCCCAUGUUGAAUACUUUCGAGUAUUCGUCUCAAAGUGCUACAUUCUUGAUAAGCAUCGUCGUUCUAAAUUUUCUCCUAAAUCUCAUGAAGGUUUCCUACUUGGUUAUGGCUCAAACUCUCACACUUACCGUGUCUACAACAAUUUCACUCGAAAGGUUGAAGAGACGGUAGAUGUGAAGUUUGAUGAAUCUAACGGCUUGCAAGUAGAGCAAUUGCCAAUUGAUGUAGGAGACAAAGACCCUUCGGAAGCAAUCCAAGACUUGUCUAUUGGCAAGGUUCGUCCAACGGAGGUGAAGGAGAGUACCUCGUUUGUCCAAGUGGAAGCUUCUACCUCACGACAAGGUGAACCAAGAGUUGAUACGGAAGCAUCCACAAGUGGGACACACCAAGACGAAGAAAACGAGGAAGUACACCAAGAUGAACAUCAACAACCUCCUUCUCCACUACGAUAAGAGAACGACAACGUCAACAAUGAAGAAGGACAAGAUGAAGAAGAUGUUCCACCCCGAUCAAAGCAAAAGCUCCCAUGAGUUCGAGCAAGAGUUGCCAAAGACCAUCCCGUCGAGCAAAUCUACAAUGAUAUCCAAACCGGAAGAAUCACUCGCUCUAAAACUCAUUUGGCUAAUUUUUGUGAACAUUAUUCGUUCAUCUCUAACAUUGAACCUAUGAAGGUUGAAAAAGCAUUGGAAGAUCCGGAUUGGAUAAACGCUAUGCAUGAAGAGCUACACAACUUUGAGAGAAAUCAAGUGUGGACAUUGGUUGAAAAGCCCAACAACAGCCACAACAUCAUCGGUACCAAAUGGGUGUUUCGCAACAAGCAAGAUGAAGAUGGAAAAGUAGUUCGCAACAAAGCACGUCUCGUCGCCCAAGGCUACACUCAAGUCGAAGGUAUGGACUAUGGUGAGACAUAUGCUCCCGUUGCUAGACUUGAGUCCAUUCGCAUCUUACUUGCUUAUGCUAAUCACCAUGAUAUCACCUUGUACCAAAUGGACAUUAAAAGUACUUUUCUAAAUGGUGAAAUUCAGGAGGAAGUUUAUGUUAAGCAACCUCCCGGCUUUGUCAAUCCUAAGAAACCUAAUCAUGCUUACAAACUUCACAAAGCUCUUUAUGGUCUUAAACAAGCUCCUAGAGCAUGGUAUAAAUGUUUGACCAAGUUCCUUGUUGAAAAAGGCUUUGAAAUUGGAAAAAUAGAUUCUACUCUUUUUACUAAAAGGGUUAAUGGAGAAUUAUUCGUGUGCCAAAUCUAUGUUGAUGAUAUUAUAUUUGGUUCGACUAACCCUCAUUUUAGUGAGAAGUUUGGAAAGCUAAUGUCGGAGAAGUUUGAGAUGUCUAUGAUGAAUGAACUCAUAUUCUUCCUUGGUUUGCAAAUCAAGCAAACUAAGGAAGGUACCUUUGUUUCUCAAACAAAGUACACCAAGGGCUUAUUCAAGAAGUUCAAUAUGCAAGAAUGCAAAGGUAUGACUACACCCAUGCCUACUAGUGGACAUCUUGAUUUGACCAAAGAUGGUGAACCGGUUGAUCAAAAAGUUUACCGCUCUAUGAUUGGUUCAUUGUUAUAUCUAUGUGCCUCUCGUCCCGAUAUUAUGCUAAGUGUGUGCAUGUGUGCAUGAUAUCAAGCGGCCCCCAAAGAAUGUCAUAUUAAGGCUAUGAAAAGGAUAGUGAGAUACUUAAUACACACACCAAAUUUUGGCAUUUGGUAUCCUAAGAGGUCUUCUUUCGAUCGUGUUGGUUACUCCGAUUCAGACUAUGCCGGAGACAAGGUUGAUAGAAAGUCCACUUCGGGUACAUGUCAAUUUCUUGGUAGAUCUCUUGUAUCUUGGUCCUCCAAGAAACAAAACUCGGUAUCCUUAUCCACCGCCGAAGCGGAAUACAUUGCCGCUGGUUCAUGUUGUGCUCAAUUACUUUGGAUGACCCAAACUCUUAAAGACUAUGGGAUAUAUGUGAAACAUGUUCCAUUGCUUUGUGACAAUGAAAGUGCUAUCAAGAUUUCUCACAAUCCCGUGCAACAUUCUCGAACUAAGCAUAUUGAAGUUCGUCAUCAUUUCAUUCGGGAUCACGUUGCCAAAGGGGACAUUGAUCUUAAGCAUGUUCGCACCGAUAAGCAAUUGGCGGAUAUAUUCACAAAACCGCUUGAUGAGAAAGUCUUAUGACAUUUGAGAGGUGAAUUGAACAUCAUUGAUGCUUCAAACAUGGAGUAGGAACUCCAUUUGGAUACAUGCAAGGCAUGAGCCUUUGACUAAUCCUUGAUAUUUCUGUCUUGUUGCUACUUAUAUGUCUUGGAUAUAUUCUCACCCUUGCAUGCUAUCUAACCCUUGUAGGUACUUGGAUGAAUCUAAAUCUAUGAGAUUGCAACCCACUCACAUCUUGAGCAAUUUCUACAUCACCAAGUCUCUACACAAUGGUGCUUGAAGACAAGGAAGCACGAAACCCUUCAAACAUAUCCUUUGACAAUUCUAUAUUAAGUCUUAUGAUUGUCAUUUUGGAUACACAAGUGAUCUUCCUUGCAAGACUAACCCAUGUAGGUAGAUGAACUCAAAUUCCAAGUGGUGCUCCCAACUCUCGAUGAGCUACAUCAACCUUGAGCAUCCCACACAAGUUCAACUACAUGAUCAAGAUCAACACCACCACCCAAGGUAUGUUAUUUCAUCUUAGAGAAGCUUUGCUCCAAGUCAUGGGUCAAAGCAACUCAACAAGAUGUGAAUACAUCAGGAUGCUUAAACAAAAAAUGGUAACCCCAUUUUGAGCUUAAACGAUGAGUAUGACCAAUGAUCAAGUGACCUCACUUGACUCCUAAGUCAAUAUACUCUAACAUAGGUGACUUUGUCACCGACCAAUUCUAGAUGAAGUUCUCUUGUGUUUCUCCAUGCUCUUGCAUUUGUCUCAUGCAUAUUUGUUUCCCCUUUCAAAAAAACACUUCAUCUAGAUCUUUUCUUUUCUUUUUGUUUAUUCUGUUAUGCAUUCCCUACAUCCAAUUCAUUGCAAAUCUUUCAGCUAAUUCCUUGCAAAUCCUUGUGAGAUCUUAAUUGUCUAGUGAGCUGAGGUGACAAGUGUUUUCACUAUGAUGAACUCAGUCAUGCCGGUUUGUUUUCUUCGGUCCAACCGAAUUCUUUCAGUGCCACCGAAGCACACACCUCGGAGCUACCGAUUUCACUGCAGAAAAGACAACUUGCCACUUGUUCCUGCAUUCUUUUUGCUCCAGCUUCACUCAAUGAUUCUUGUCCACUACCAGCAUCACAUUCGACUUGCUGCUUUGCUCUGUGACUCAAGGACCAAACCCAUUUGUAACAAAAUCCAGAAGAGCCCUUCUGGGAAAUUGGUGUCAAAGGGGGAGAGAGAGAUCACAUCAAAUCUUAAUCAUUUUUAUAAGGGGAGAGAAUGCUCAGGGGGAGAGUGUAGAAACCCUAGAUGCUUGGUGUUCAAGAGGAGAGAAGUCACAUGUCUUUAAGAGGGGAAAGACAUGUUCAUAUUUGAUUGUUUGCAUUAGCUCUGUUUCUUGUCUCUGCUCUAUUUUUCUGUUCCCUAUCUUCUCCCAGUAUCCCAUGCUAGAUUCAGGGGGAGCAAGACAUCUAAGGGAAGGAAAUUCUUGAAUUCAUUGCACAUCUUUCCCUUUGGGGAUAUGUCUAUAUCCGAUAGAGUACUCAGUACUCACUAUCUACAUGUCAUCCCAGUCUUGGUACUCUUGUGGUUCCUGUUGUUUGCUCUGGCUAGUAGGUGUAUCUGUGUUAUCUAACCUCGUUUACUCAGGUUCACUCCUUCCUAAGCCAACUCAAGACCACAAGGUAAGUAUAUGCAUCACAGUCAUGUGCAUGAGGAUUUCUUGCUGAUGUACAUACUGUUUGCAAGAAGGACUCAUGAGCAUGAAGGUACAUUUCCCAUAUUCACAUCAUUUGCUCUGAUGCAUAUAGCCAAGAUACAAGUAACUCAUUGCUUGCUCUGUCAUGAUUAUGCACUCAUAUGCUCUUAUGUUCCAUAUUCACAUGAUUUCAUACAUGUAGGGGGAGCCUAUGCAUGUUACAUGUCCUUGCAAAGCUUUACUUGUUAUUCCCUAUAUCUUUAUCUAAAGCUUUGAUGUAUGGUGUCAUCAAUUACCAAAAAGGGGGAGAUUGAAAGCACAAGUGCUCCCUGGGUGGUUUUGGUAAUUAAUGUCAACAUAUCUCUUGUUGGACUAAUGCUUCUACCUAGUAUGUUUCAGAUAAGUUCAAAACUGGAGUGGCAUGGACUAGAGGAUGUGGAACCCCUUCAAAAUGAUGAGGACAAAGGAUUGGCUCAAGCUCAAAACUCAAGACUCUACAUUUUCUAUUUUAGUGAUCCAAGAUCACAUUGAGUCCAUAGGAAAGGCAAUACUAUUAAGAGGGGAUGAGGUGUUGCUUAAUGGCUUGCUUGCUCAAAGUGCUUAGUGAUAUGCUCCAAAGCCCUCAACCACUUUCUCACAUCCACAUAUGUCCCAAACCAAAAGUCAAACUCGGCCCCACCGAAUCUUUCUAUCCGGCGCCACCGAGUUCUCUUGACAUAGCCACUGCCAGAAACCCUAAUCAAUCCGGUCUCACCGAUGGGAUCUCGGUCUCACCGAGAUGGGAUUGCAAACUCUCUGUUACCUAUUUGCAAUAAUUUCGGUCUCACCGAAAUAUGCAAUCGGUCCCACCAAGAUUGCAAUGCAAACUCUCUGUCACCCCUUCGUAACGUUUCGGUCCAACCGAGAUGAGCGAAUCAGUCCCACCGAGUUUGCCUGACCAACUCUCUGUUUGUCUAUUACCAAAAUCGGUCUCACCGAGUUUGUGUAAUCGGUCUCACCGAGAUUACGUUAUGCCCUAACCCUAACGAAAUCGGUCUCACCGAGUUGACAUGUCAGUCCCAUCGAAAUGCCUAACAGUCACAUUAUGAACUAAAUCGGUCCGACCGAGUUUCAUGAUUCGGUCCCACCGAGUUUGGUGAUUUGUGUGUAACGGUUAGAUUUUGUGUGGAGGCUAUAUAUACCCCUCCACCCACUCUUCAUUCAUGGAGAGAGCCAUCAGAACAUGCCUACACUUCCAACAUACAUUUUCUGAGAGAGAACCACCUACACUUGUGUUGAGGUCAAGAUAUUCCAUUCCAACCACAUAAAUCUUGAUCUCUAGCCUUCCCCAAGUUUCUUUCCACUCAAAUCAUCUUUCCACCAAAUUCAAAUCCUGUGAGAGAGAGUUGAGUGUUGGGGAGACUAUCAUUUGAAGCACAAGAGCAAGGAGUUCAUCAUCAAUACACCAUUUGUUACUUCUUGGAGAGUGGUGUCUCCUAGAUUGGCUAGGUGUCACUUGGGAGCCUCCGUCAAGAUUGUGGAGUUGAACCAAGGAGUUUGUAAGGGCAAGAAGAUCGCCUACUUCGUGAAGAUCUACCCGAGUGAGGCAAGUCCUUCGUGGGCGACGGCCAUGGUGGGAUAGACAAGGUUGCUUCUUCGUGGACCCUUCGUGGGUGGAGCCCUCUGUGGACUCGCGCAACCGUUACCCUUCGUGGGUUGAAGUCUCCAUCAACGUGGAUGUACGAUAGCACCACCUAUCGGAACCACGGAAAAUCUCCGUGUCUCCAAAUUGCGUUUGCACACUCCAAUCCCAUCCCUUUACACUCUUGCAACUUGCAUGCUUUACUUUCCGCUGCUCAUAUACUCUUGUCAUGCUUGCUUGAUAUGUAUUGUAAAUGGUUAAACUUGUGCCAAAACUCCACAUCAACUUAAGGAAAUUAAAAACUACAACUUUUCUUCUUAGAGUCUAUUCACCCCCCCCCUCUAGACACCUCUUCUCGAUCCUUUCAACCCCUCAAAAUGCUAAGGACACAUAUUGGCAAAAGCAAAAGACUCUACAUUUUCAUUUUAGUGAUCCAAGAUCACAUUGAGUCCAUAGGAAAAGCCAAUACUAUUAAAAUGUUUAGUGAUAUGCUCCAAAAGCCCUCAACCACUUUAUCAUAUCCACAUAUGUCCCAAACCAACAGUCAAACUCGGCCCCAUCGACUUGAUCUAUCCGGCGCCACCGAGUUCACUCGACAUAGCCAUAGCCAGAAACCCUAAUCAGUCUGGUCUCACCGAUAGGGAUCUCGGUCUCACCUAGAUGGGAUUGCAAACUCUCCAUUUCCAUUCAUAACGUUUUGGUCUAACCGAGAUGAGCGAUCAGUCCCACCGAGUUCGCAAUGCAAACUCUCUAUUUCCUCUUCGUAACGUAGUGGUCUCACCGAAAUGAGCGCUUGGUCUCACCGAAAUGAGCGCUUGGUCCCACCGAGUUUGCCUGACCAACUCUCUGUUUGCCUAUUACUGAAAUCGGUCUCACCGAGUUCAUGUGAUCGGUCUCACCGAGAUUACGUUAUGCCCUAACCCUAACACAAUCGGUCCCACCAAAAAUCCCAACGUUCACAUUUUGAACUGAAUCGGUCUGAUCGAGUUUCACUCUUCGGUCCCACCGAGUUUGGUAAAUUGUGUGUAACGGUUAGAUUUUGUGUGGAGGCUAUAUAUACCCCUCCACCCUUCCUCCAUUUGUGGGGAGAGCAAUCAGAACGUGCCUACACUUCCGCUACUCAUUUUCUGAGAAAGAACCACCUACUCAUGUGUUGAGACCAAGAUAUUUCAAUCCAACCACAAGAAUCUUGAUCUCUAGCCUUCCCCAAGUUGCUUUCCACUCAAAUCAUCUUUCCACCAUAUCCAAAUCUUUGUGAGAGAGUUGGGUGUUGGGGAGCAAGGAGUUCAUCAUCAACACACCAUCUAUUACCUUUUGGAGAGUGGUGUCUCCUAGAUUGUUUAGGUGUCACUUGGGAGCCUCCGUCAAGAUUGUGGAGUUGAACCAAGGAGUUUGUAAGGGCAAGGAGAUCGCCUACUUCGUGAAGAUCUACCCAAGUGAGGCAAGUCCUUCGUGGGCGAUGGCCAUGGUGGGAUAGACAAGGUUGCUUCUUCGUGGACCCUUCAUGGGUGGAGCCCUCCGUGGACUUGCACAGCCAUUACCCUUCGUGAGUUCAAGUCUCCAUCAAUGUGGAUGUACGAUAGCACCACCUAUCAGAACCACGCCAAAAAUCUAUGUGUCUACAUUGCGUUUGCUCCCUCUAAACUCCUCCCCUUUACCUUCAUAUGCAAUGAUUUACAUUCCGCUGCUAUACUCUUACAUUUGCAUGUGUAGGUUGAUUGCUUGACUUGUGAUAAGUUGCUACUACCAAGACUUAAAAUUGGGAAAAGGCUAGAUUUUUAUUUGGUCAAGUAGUCUAAUCACCCCCCUCUAGACAUACUUUCGAUCCUACAAGUGGUAUCAGAGCUUUGGUCUCCAUUUGCCUUGAUUUCCAUAGCUUUGGUGAUCAUAGCCUUGGUUUCACAACCUAGGAGAGUAUGGCGUCUAGCGAGGGAAAUUACCACCGUAAAGGUCCUUACUUUGAUGGUACUAAUUUUGCUAGUUGGAAGCAUAAGAUGAAAAUGCAUAUUCUUGGACAUAACCCCGCCGUUUGGGCUAUUAUGAGUAUUGGCUUGCAAGGUGAAUUCUUCGAUGGGAGAGAACCAAAUCGUGAAGCUACCGCGGAAGAAUUGAAGAUGUUGCAAUACAAUGCUCCAGCUUGCGAUAUCCCCUUCAACGGAUUGUGCCCCAAAGAAUUCAACAAAAUCAGCCGUCUUGAGAAUGCAAAGGAAAUUUGGGAUACUUUGAUUGAUAUGCAUGAAAGUACCGACUCCGUCAAGGAAUCCAAAUUGGAUGUGCUUCAAAGUCAGCUUGACAAGUUCAAAAUGAAGGACGGUGAAGGUGUCGCUGAAAUGUACUCUAGGCUUGCUCUCAUCACAAAUGAGAUUGCUGGCUUAGGAAGUGAAGAGAUGACCGACAGAUUCAUCAUCAAGAAGAUCUAAGAUCCUUGGAUGGAAAAUAUGACAUCGUGUGCACAUUGAUCCAAAUGAUGCCCAAUUACAAAGAUCUCAAGCCAACGGAAGUCAUUGGUAUAAUUGUUGCUCAUGAGAUGUCACUCAAGGAUAAAGAAGAGCUUCACAACAAGUCUAGUGGUGCUUACAAAGCCUCAUGUGAUGCUCCUACAUCAUCAUGUGAGAAACAAGUCUUCAAUGAGGAAUUGAGCCUAAUGGUGAAGAACUUCAACAAGUUCUACAAGAGUGGAAGCAAAGAAAGAAGUUCCAAGUCAAGGUCCUACAAUGACAAAAGAUCUUCUAGUCGCGAGUGUAAUUGCUACAAUUGUGGAAGACCCGGACACUACUCCAAUGAGUGUACGGCUCCCUACAAAAGAAGAGAAGACUCAACUAAAAGGAGAAGUAGAAGAGAGGAAUCACCUCCAAGAGAGAGAAGGAGUAGAGAUGAUCGUUAUGAGCGAAGAACCUCUUGCAGAAGCAACAAUUUGGAAAGGAAGGACAAGUCAUAAAGGAGCUACACAAAACAAAGACAUCAAGCUCAUGUUGGUGAAUGGGUAUUCGGCUCCGACUCCGACCACCACUCCGAGAGAAGUUAUCACUCUGACUCCGAAUAUACUCAAGAUGAAGGUGUUGCCGGUCUAGCAAUUGUGUCAACUAACUCCUAUGACAUAUUUGACUCACCAAAUGAAGGGGUUGGAAGAUGCUUCAUGGCUAAGGGCCCAAAGGUAUCACAUCCCGAGUAUGUUGAUUUCAAUAGUGAUGAAGAUGAUUUGCUAGGUGAUGAUAAUUUACUUGUUGACAACUCUAGUGAUGAAAACUAUGAUGAACUUGCUAUUAAUCAUGCUAAUCAAUAUAAAACGAAUGACGAUGAUAAGAAGGUGAUCGAGCGUCUAACUAAAUAACUAAACACUCUUAAGUUAGCUCAUGAAACUACCUUAGAAGAUCAUCGAGAACUUUUAAAGACUCAUGAGAAGCUACGCUUUCAAAAGCUCAAUCUUGAGCAAGAGCAUGGGUUCUUAAAAGCAAUCAAUGAUGAUCUUCGUAAGAAAAGUUCUUCUUACAUUGCGAAGCGUUUACUCUUGUCUACUUACAUGCCACAAGUAAAAUCUAACACAAGAGUAAGAAAGAUUCUUCAUCUAGUAGUAACAAUAAUCAUGCUAAAUCCAAUAUUGUUGCUUCUAGUAGUUCUCUUGAUUCCACUAAUGAUUCUCUUAGCCAAGUUACACUUGAGCAAGAAAAUAGCUUAUUGAAGGGAAUUAUAGAGAAAGGUGUUUACAAGAGCCUUGCCGGAAGUAAACAAUUUGAGGAAAUUGUACGCAAGCAAGGAAGGCACCGGAAGAAUCAAGGUGUUGGUUUUGAACGAAAGUUCAAUGCCAAUGGAGUUGAGUGGGAAGAAGAUCAAUACCUCAAGACGAAGUUUGUUCCUCAACAAGAGAAGUAUGAUCCUACUUCCUUCAAGGGGACACAAGCUCAAGAUGAUCUUCCACCACAAGACCACAAGCAAAAAGGCAAGGACAAGCUUCAAGAGGAGAUUGAUGCAUUUGAAGAAGCUCACAAGGCCUUGGUCAAGUGGGUUCCCAAGACUACAUCGAGUUCUACUUCAUCAAGUACGACUACAACUCCAAGGAUUCCCAUCAAGAUGAUGUGGAUCCCGAAGAAGAACUAGGGAGUUCUUGAGGGUGACUCCGCCAACAUAUUCCACUCAUAUCAUUUUGGCGAGAACAAGUGCAAACAACUUCCACAUCUUGCACUAGUUCAAGGAGUCACAAACCCUCUUGUUGGUAAGACAAGGGACAAGGUAAUCUAAUGUUUUCAUGGACAUCAUCUUGUGUGCACUUCAUUCUAUGUCUAUGGAUAUCCUUGUUUGUUCCUUGUGGGACUAACCCAUGUAGGUAUUGAAAGUGCAACUCACCCCAAUGGAUUGCUCCAAAUGAUCUACAUCAACAUUGAGCAUCCACAUCUUCAACAUCUACAUGAAGUCAUCAUCAGCAAAAGCCAAGGUUAGUUCAUCCCUCUUAGGGGGGAUAUCACAUCUAGGGGGAGCUUUACUCUAAGAAUUGAGCUAAAGCAACUCUAAUGGUGUGAACACAACAAUGCCUUAUGUAAAAGUGGUAACCCCACUUGUGCUUAAACAAUGAGUAUGACCUAUGAUCAAAUGUUCUCAUUUGACUCCUCAGUCAAUAUACUCAUAUAUAGAUGACCUAGUCAUCGCCAAUUGCUUGAUAGAUGCUAGAGUGUUUGUGCAUGCUUUGCCACAUAUUUCAUUUGCCAUCUUAUUGUGUGAGCAUGUUGAUUGCAUAUUUUUCUCAUUCGAGGACAUCCAUUUGUUGCUUUGAUUGUUUGGUCUUUUUCUUUUGCCAAAUGGAUGGACAAGAAUGCCUAAGAACUUCCUUUAGCUAUCUAUGCUUUUCUUGUCUCAAACUCUAUUCAUGCUACAUCGCAAAGUUUGAUCAAGUCAGAUUCGAACCCUCUGGGUGAGGAGCACUCGAAGGCACUGAUUCGUCAUAGACUUAAACUUCCAAAACCUCUCUGUGUAUUUCGGUCCGACCGAUUCAUCCCUUUCGGUCAUACCGAGUUCAUUGAGUUGAUCUAGGUUUUCAAUCUCAGUGCAACCAAUUUCAACAAUUCGGUCACACCGAGUUGCAGUAACCGCUUGCGAUUCUGCAUCUCGGUGCCACCGAGCCAUUCCACUCGGUCACACCGACAGGGUCAGGAUAUAUAUACCCACGGGCCAAAUUUUGGAAAUUCCUCCGAAACCUUCCGUCUGCGUGUGUCUUGCUCUGCCGACUCGGGUCUCCGGAUCGUCUCUUCAUCGCCAGCGACCUCCCACCGCUGGUCUCCGCCGCCGUCAACGGGAAUCUUCACCGCCGUUGCCACCGUAGCGAGCUCAUCGCUAAGUUAGGGUAUGAGUUCGAUCCUUUAUGCAAUCUUUACCUCCGAUUCUUAGCACAAAGUCAAUGCCAUGAUUCUUACCACGUAUGAGAUCAUUCUAUCCAAUAAAAAAUUCCUUUAGAUUAGUUUUAAUUCGAAAAUUUAGGGUUAGGUUUCCGCCGAACUCAUCUCGGACCGACCGAGUUGUAGAAAUCGAUCUCACCGAUUUGGCUUAGGCCAUUGCACUUGUAGCUUUCGCUCUGACCAAAACUUGCAAAUCAGUGUGAUCGAGUUCAACUCUCAGUGAAACCCUAGCAAUCUUGGAUUCACCGAACUGUGUCUCGGUCUGGCCGAUUUCACUAGUUCAGACUAAUAUUGCUUCGGCGGCACCGAGUUUAAAAAUCGGUAGCUCUGAAACGCUUUCUGUGGAAAACUAAAACUAAGUUUUUGACUCAAUUGUUUUGCAAAAACUCUGUACUUUGUGAUGCUCAUCCACUCUAUCUCAACUACAUCUAUUGACAGGGUCAGCUUUUAGAUUGCAGUGUCAGAAAUGUCUGAUCAAAGUGACAGCCAGAACAAGUCUGAGGAGCAAGUUAACCUGAGUGAGGGCACUAGUCCCUCUGGCAGCUAUGAUGAGGGUAGCAGAAGCACCCCAAGCAAUUUUCCCAAGGCAGCAACAAGAACAAGGAGAAAGAGAAACUCAGACUCUGAGGAAGAAGAUGAAGAAGAGGAUGCUGCUCCAGCAUCAAAGACUCAGAAGCUGAUGGGGGAUGCCAUCAAGUCUGGGGCUGCUCCAUCAAAGUCCAAGACUGCCCCCAAAGCUACUGCUCCAGCCACCAAGUCUGCACCCAAGAGAUCCACCAGAAAUAUACCAGCUACUGAGAAGAACAAGGCCCCAGUGCCUGAAAUAGAAGAAGAAGAAGAAGAAGAAGAAGAAGAAGAUGAUGAAGCCCAAGUGCUCAGAAAGUUGAAGCCCAAGAUCCCUGAUCAUGAUGACAAUCACCCAGUGGCUGAAAACAUGAAGGAGAGAAAGGAUGUAGGUCUCAAAUUGUGGAGACAGUCAAACCCUUAUGCUGUGAGGAGAAGGACUGAUGUGGACUACAUAUUUCACACAAAGGAACAGCAGGACUUCUAUGAGACCGUGCUCCUGGAUAAGAAGCCCAUAGUGUGUGACAUGAAGUGGGUUGAUUGGAAGUACAUCGACAACAAUGAAGACCACUUCCCUGGAGUGCAUGAAAGCUUCAGACUCAAUGGAGUAGACACCUUUGUGGGUCAGAAGUUGACCAAGUGGAAUGAUGAGCUCAUUAUGCAAUUCUAUUCAACAGCUCAUUUCUACCCUGAUGGAAGGAUUGUAUGGAUGACUGAAGGAACAAGAUAUCAGUCUACUGUUGCUGAGUGGGCCAAUCUUAUCAAUGCCCGUGAAGAGCAUGAGGAUGACAUUGAUGUCUAUGCUAAACCUAGGAAGGGUCACAACUCCAUGGCCAACAUGUACAAGGAGAUACCUGACAAAGCCUUGGAGACACACAAGCUAGGCUUGGUGUAUUACCUGCUGUCUGGACUGGCCACCAUGAACACCAUUUUGAGGCACACCUUGCUGCCCAAAUCAGGAGAUCACAGGAUGAUCAGAGGCCACUCCAUCAACUUGCUUCAGACGUUUGAUGUGCCCUAGAAAUUCAAAGUGAUGAGUUUGAUCGUUGAAACCAUCAAGAGAACUACAGCAGACCAAAAGAGAUCAUGUGGGUAUGCUCCACACAUUCAUAUGCUCAUCAACUCCAAGAUGGGCAAAUGCAUAUACUUGUUGGACAAAGAGCACCUUCCCUUGAGGCCUGAUUUUGAGGACAACACAGUUGUCAUGGAUGCUACAGAUCCUACUUCAGUAGAGGCUCAGGAGAAGAGGGAGAAAGCAAAAGCAGAGAAGGUAGCCAAGAUGCCAAGUGCUGAAGAGGCUUCACAAGUUUUUCUCAAGUCAAAACAAGACCAACUUGGCUAUCUUAUUCAAGCCACUUUGAGGAUUGAGAAAGGUUUGGCCAACUUGACUCAGAAUCAAGAGAGUCUUGAGAGAAUUUUGGAGACCAAACUUCAUGACUUGGAUGUCAAAGUGACUGAGAUUCAGACUUUUGUGGAGAAGAUCCAAGAGGAACUUGAGGACAGGAGUGAAAAGACCACUACUGAUGCAUAUCAAAGGGUGCCCAGAAGGCAGAGGUCUGCAGCAGUGCCAGUGACAGAUGCUAGAGCUACAACUUUAGCACCUGCAGCCACAGCUUCAGUUGCCCCUCCGGUUGCAACUCCACCAGCUCCUACUACCUCUACAGAUGCAUUUGUUGCAGGACUCCUCUCCAUGCCACCUCCUGAAGAUCAAGCUUAGAGAGCCGCAUAGCACUAUGCAUUUUCAAGCUUUUUGGUAACUUGUUGCCAAAGGGGGAGAAAGUGUAUAAAUCAUAGGCUGAGAGAGAGAGAGAGCUUUGCUUCUUUUUGCUAUCUCUUUUGCUACUUGUUUGUUUGCUUGCUUGGUUGAUACUUUAUGGUUAUGUGUGUGAGAUACUUGUAUGGUCAUGUGUUUGGUCAUAUCAUACUUUAAUGUUUGUGCUUUGGAUGAUGAUAUUAUCUAUCUCUCAUGUAUGAUCAUUCACUUUGUCUUGAUGAUGAGUGUAUAUUUCAUAUUCUAUCAUUUUGAGCGCUCCACCAAGAUGUAUGUGACAUGAAAGAGUAAGCCAUGAUCCUAAUUGAUUGUGCAUUUGCAUUCCAAAGCCAAUUUUAAAUAAUGCACAAAUUUAGGGGGAGCUCUUGCUUAUCACAUACUUCUCAAAGCGACGAGGUAUUUCAUUCUUAUUAUCAUUUGUCGAAGCUUUGAUCCAUAUGUUGUCAUCAAUUACCAAAAAGGGGGAGAUUGAAAGUGCAACUAAUCCCUGGGUGGUUUUGGUAAUUCUUAACAACAUAUAGCUCAUUGAACUAAUACUCUUUCAAGAUGAUCAUUUCAGAAAGUUCAAUGACUGGCAUGGCAUGGACUAGAGAUGUGGACCCCUCAAAAUGCUAAGGACACAUAUUGGCAAAAGCAAAAGACUCUACAUUUUCAUUUUAGUGAUCCAAGAUCACAUUGAGUCCAUAGGAAAAGCCAAUACAAUUAAAAGGGGAUGAGGUGUUGCUUAAUGGCUUGCUUGCUCAAAAUGCUUAGUGAUAUGCUCCAAAAGCCCUCAACCACUUUCUCAUAUCCACAUAUGUCCCAAACCAAAAGUCAAACUCGGUCCCACCGAUUUGAUCUAUCCGGCGCCACCGAGUUCACUUGACAUAGCCAUAGCCAGAAACCCUAAUCAGUUCGGUCUCACCGAGACGGGAUUGCAAACUCUUUGUUUCCCUUCGUAACAUUUUGGUCCCACCGAAUUCGCAAUGCAAACUCUCUGUUUCCUCUUCGUAACGUUUCGGUCUCACCGAAAUGAGCGAUCGGUCCCACCGAGUUUUCCUGACCAACUCUCUGUUUGCCUAUUACUGAAAUCGGUCUCACUGAGUUCAUGUGAUCGGUCUCACCGAGAUUACGUUAUGCCCUAACCCUAACACAAUCGGUCCCACCGAGUUGAUCAUGUUGGUCCCACCGAAAAGCCUAAUGUUCACAUUUUGAACUGAAUUGGUCUGACCGAGUUUCACUAUUCGGUCCCACCGAGUUUGGUAAAUUGUGUGUAACGGUUAGAUUUUGUGUGGAGGCUAUAUAUACCCCUCCACCAUUCCACCAUUCGUGGGGAGAGCAAUCAGAACGUGCCUACACUUCCACUACUCAUUUUCUGAGAAAGAACCACCUACUCAUGUGUUGAGACCAAGAUAUUCCAAUCCAACCACAAGAAUCUUGAUCUCUAGCCUUCCCCAAGUUGCUUUCCACUCAAAUCAUCUUUCCACCAUAUCCAAAUAUGUGAGAGAGAGUUGAGUGUUUGGAAGACUAUCAUUUGAAGCACAAGAGCAAGGAGUUCAUCAUCAACACACCAUCUAUUACCUUUUGGAGAGGGGUGUCUCCUAGAUUGGUCAGGUGUAACUUGGGAGCCUCCGUCAAGAUUGUGGAGUUGAACCAAGGAGUUUGUAAGGGCAAGGAGAUUGCCUACUUCGUGAAGAUCUACCCAAGUGAGGCAAGUCCUUCGUGGGCAAUGGCCAUGGUGGGAUAGACAAGGUUGCUUCUUCGUGGACCCUUCAUGGGUGGAGCCCUCCGUGGACUCAUGCAGCCGUUACCCUUCGUGGGUUGAAGUCUCCAUCAACGUGGAUGUACGAUAGCACCACCUAUCGGAACCAUGCCAAAAAUCUCCGUGUCUACAUUGCGUUUGCUCCCUCUAAACUCCUCCCAUUUACCUUCAUAUGCAAUGAUUUACAUUCUGCUGCCAUACUCUUAGAUUUGCAUGUGUAGGUUGAUUGCUUGACUUGUGAUAAGUUGCUAAAAUCUGUCAAGACUUAAAAUUGGGAAAAGGCUAGAUUUUUAUUUGGUCAAGUAGUCUAAUCACCCCCCCCCCCCUCUAGACAUACUUUCGAUCCUACAUGGGCUAGACCUCAGAACAGAGGAGCAUCUCGUCGAAGGUCGGGAGAGAGCCGUGAAUAGGCUUGGUCUCGGGCACGACCAUUCCUGUCCAACCAGGCAUCGUAGCCAUCAAGCCCGGCGGGCGUGUCUCCUCUUGAUCUGUAGAUGAACCGAGGGGGUGCCCUAUGAGCCUCGAUGCGACAUCAAACAUCAUGAGGGUCUAGGUAAUCCACGGGGUCCUUACCAUAAUGGUGUGGAGGUGGUCGGUCGUUGAGGUUUUCCCGCAUUGGCAUGUCCCUCCCUCUAGGGGGUCGGUCAUGGUCGUUGGUGAGCUCCUCGUCAAACUCCGGCAGGAAACGCCUGUGUGGGUAUGAUUUUGGCAUGCUACGGCGCCGGUUUUCCAUGUCUUGUUCAGCGGAGAGCACUUCGACCCACUUUUCAUUCAGUGUGUCGGUGUUGGCCUGCAGCUGCCGCUGCUUAUGUUUCAUGCUCCGAGCCGUCGUAAUGAGGCACUGCCGGAAGCUCUCUUGUUCGAAGGGGUCUUCAGGGACGACGAAGUCCUCGGUGUCGAGGCUUUCGUCCUCCUCAGAUUCCGGCAUGUAGUUGUCAUCAGCCCCUUCAAAGAGGUCGUCACGAUUUGAAUCCUCGAGAUGUCCUUCGGGUGUGCCUUUCCACCCUAGGGAAGCUUGAUGAUCUCCCUUGGGGUUAUCAGCGUCACCGGCUUCUACGUCAUCGUUAUCGGCAGUUGCAUUAUUGCCGCUGGGCUCCCCAUUGUUGCCUCUUCCACGUCUUCGACGACGUCUUGGAGGGGUAUUGGGGGUGUCCACCAUGUAGACAUCGCAAGUAGAUGUAGUAGUCCACCUGCCGAUGGGCGAGGUGUCUUCUGCGGGGCCACCGACAUCUUCAUCCAUGUCCGUGGCCUCACCGUGGUCUAGUACGUCGGUUAAAUCGUCGACCGUGGUGACUAGGUGGGUGGUGGGUGGAUGUAAAUUUCCCAAUCAUCAGCUUUAAGUCCGACCUGAUCAUAGACCUAAGUCUUGCCGUCCGAGAUGGACAUGCCCUGGAUACGGUCAAGCAUCUCAUUAAGGUGAGACAGCUCUUCCGGAUUCAUUACUGGAUUGUAAGCGGGGCUAACUUGAAGUAUGCCCGGCCUAUAACUUGACGUGUCUUCGAUGCGAAGGGGAUCCGGGAGUGAUUCCGGAUUCUGCGCCGAGGUCAGUUCUAACCCUGACAUAAUUCCCAAAGUGGGGGCUGGAUCUACAUCUGGGCCAGAGAAGUAGUUACGUCGGGGGUCUCUAAUGACGCCGCGAUGGAGAUCGGUUCCGGGGUCGAGCCUCUGGAGCCAGAUGAGUUCUCAAUUCUGCCGAGGGCCCAUCCCGACAGGGCGAGCUCACCACAGGAAUCUGCAGUGUACUCGAGGCCGCCAAAGGUCACGAUCUGACUUGGGGCGUAGUUCUCGACAGAGGCCAGAUGAUCUGUCGAGUCGGUGCAAAAGACCACGUUGCCGAACACAAAAAGCUAGUCGAGGGCGAAAAUGCUCCCAAGGCCGUUGGAGCAGUUGAUCUGGAGAUGAGCCAUUGAUUCUUCUGGUGAUUGCACAACGGAACUCUAAAUGAAAGCACCAGUGUGAGUGUCAAAACUGGUAGACCUCGGGGUAGGGGGUCCCGAGCUGUGGAUCUCGGACUGAGGGUAACAGGAAUGAAGGAGAUGAUGUUUACCCAGGUUCGGGCCCUUUUGAUGUAGGUAAAACCCUAUGUCCUGCUCUUGUUUAUAUUGAUGGAGAUGUAUCAAGUACAGAGUUGAUCUACCUCGAGAUCGUAAUGUGUGGUCUAACUCUAGGGCUAGGUGAAUGAUUUUGCGUUGAUGCCCCCUCUACGGGCUAAACCCUAUGGCUUAUAUUCACGCCAGGGAGGGUAUCUAGGGUUACAAGGUCGGUAGCUAGGAGCUAGGCGGCGGCAGAGAUCUUGGAAUAUACGUCAAGUCUUCGGGGGAGGCAGUCUUGAUCACGUCUCCAGCGCACGGCCUCCGGAGUCCACCUUGACCAUGAGUGAGGGCCCAUCAACCCAACCCGAGGAGAAUGGGCCGGCUAGGUCAGGAUCCCCUAGUCCAGGACACCGUCACCGAUGACCUCGGUCUUAUCAUGCAGAAGCCCGGGAGUUCACCGAACAAUUCUGGAACCGAUUCCUAACUAAAACGAAUCAAAUUAAGGACUGCCCGAACGCAGAAGCAAUUGUUGCCUUUAGGCACAACAUCCGUGACGAACGGACUCAAGAGCUCGGGUAAGAGAGACCUCGAUCGAUGGGGCCCUCACUCAUUUAAUUGCUAGAUUCGUGCGGGGGAGGAUAGCUGGAUUGCUCGCAAGAACAACAAUUUGAGGGCCCUCGAGGUACCUAGUGAAAGCAUCUGACCUCGGCACAUUAAGCGCCCCACCACACCUAGCACCAACGGCACCAAGGAAGGAGCAGUCAAUGUCGCUUUCGCAAGUCAACGCAGAGGCAACAAACGGAAACCUAUUCAAAGGGACAGGGAGGGUCCUUCAAAGUUAGAUUGGAUCUUGGACAAGCCGUAUGCCACCCAUGGCACCCCUGACAAGCUGGCCACUCACUCUAACUGAAACAUCUGAGUGAACAAGUAAGCCGGCAAGAUAGCAGCAGAACAUUAGGACAGGGGCCGAGGCCGUGACGACAACGAAGGCCAGCCUGAGCCGAGCAAUGUCGGUCAAAAGAAAUUUCCUUCCGGGGUUAAGGAUGUUAACUUGCUUUACCCCACAAAAGUUACUAGUUAAAAAAUUAAAUAACUAUUCAACUUCACAAACUACAUCAACGUAAGGGGACUUGUGGCUCUCUUAAACUAGGCUUUUGGGUGUGUCAACUAUCGACGUCAACUUCUUAUGUCAAACCGCCUUAGUGUAGGCGGUUUCUUUCAGAAAACUGCCUCGAAAAUAUGAGUUCUUUGAUUUGGUUUCUUUGCCGAAAUUUUAGUUAAGUCAGGUUUCCUCGUAAAUCCACCUCAUAUAUUAUUAUUUUCGAACAUAGUAUAAUCUUUGAUUUUUUUAAACACGCACAUGCACUCACCCUUAUGAACGCACGCACGUAUACACUAUCCCUAUGAGCUCCUCCGAGAUACCGAGCCGAGACAACAUUUUAAGAUUGACGAAGUCGCCACAGACGCCUUGUAAUCAAUGAAAACGGCUCCUCCCAUUAAACAAACAUUGCCGGAAAGUCUGAAAUAAAUUCAGAAAAAAUAUGAGUUCGAGUGCCAAGUCUAGAACUUUCCGGGUUGGCUGGUUCCACCAGAAGGAACCUAACCAUCUGAGAUACACUCACUUUGCAAUCCACCUCACAUAUUCGACAAUUAGAGUAUGGUGAAAUUUCCGUGGCUUAAAACUGACACAUAGUAUCGUUCCCUAAUGCUCAGAUUUGUAGUAGGGAAAAUGUCACGUCACACAUAGGGUAAACUUGUUCAUGGACAACCCGGCCCGGUGGCCUGGACCCGAAGCCCGACAUUCGGGCUGGGCUCGGGCUACAAUUUCUCGCCCGAAGCCCGGCCCGAAAGCCCGAAAUAAGCCCGAAAUGCCUAUAUAUAUAUUCAAAAUAUAGGUAUAAGUUAAUAUAAUACCCCGAAUAUGAUUAAUUUAAUUAAAGACGCCAAUGUUCAUGUGUUUUGGGCCGGGCUAGGCCAGGCUCGGGCUUGGGAUUUUUUCAUCGGGCUUUGCCAAGCCCGGCCCGAACCCAACCCGGCGCGGGGAAUGAUCAGGUUUAACAUGGGGUUGUCUCGCACUUUUUGUUUCCAUUUUUCUUUUGCGUGUAGGAAAAAAGCCAACAUAGUUGUUGAUUAUUUUUGAAAUAGCUAACAGCUGGAACGGUACUAGCCAAACAUAGUUGCAUGGUUACGUAUACACCAAACGUACCGAAUGUCAGAACACGCAGCUGUGCUGCUGUCUCACACUCUUAUUGAACGGCAAAUUCACGCUAACCUUAUCUUGGAUUGCUUAUGUACAUAUCCUGGGAAAUACGUCAGCUUGUUAAUCUAAAACUAUUUUUUAGAUGGAAGUAUGCGCUUUCAGUUAGAGAGUAAGUACAUCGUGACGCCCGCUUGGUGCUAAUCACCUUCUAUAAAAGCCUCCUUUGCCAAUCUCCUCUGCGCAUUGCUGGAUCGGUUGAGCGAACACCAUGGCGCGCGGCCUCCACCAUCUCCUGCUCCUUGCAGCGCUCCUCCAGCUGCUUUCCACCACCUCCGCGGCGACCGCCGGCGACGUCGCGACUGGCAGUGGCAGCGAGAAGGUGCACGUGGCAAUCUACUACGAAUCCCUGUGCCCCUACUCGGUCCGCUUCGUGGCGAACCACCUCUUGAAGGCCUACAGGGACGGCCUGCUCGACGCCGCGGACCUCACCCUCGUCCCCUACGGCAACGCCAAGGUCAACGCGCACGGCGCCAUCACAUGUCAGGUGGGUGCGCCAUUGCCGCGCCUCCGGUCCGUUCCUCUCCUUCUCCCUUCGGCUAUAGAGAUACUCAUACUGAUGUUGGGAUAUAUACUGGCUUGCUGCAGCAUGGCCCCGAGGAAUGCCUUCUCAACACCGUGGAGGCUUGCGCCAUCGACGCCUGGCCGGACGUGGUAACUUAGUUUAUUCACACCUCAUCUUAGUCUCUGCUCGCUGCUCCACCACCUGACGUAUUAUUGCGACUGCAUGAUACAAUAACGAGAACGAGAACUUUUCUUGCAAUUGAUAGCUGUUGUUUUGUUUUGAUGCAGAAAGUGCACCUCGGCUUCAUUUACUGCGUGUCGGACCUAGUGAUGAAGAACAAGCACCGGGAGUGGGAGUCGUGCUUCCAGAAACAGGGGCUUGACCCGAGGCCAGUCACGGAGUGCUACAAGGGCGAGCGUGGCCACAAUGUCCGUCCCCCUUUGCAUCUGCGUUUGUUGCAUCAUCCACAUACAAUUGUUAACAUUUAUAUACGCUAAACUGCUAAACGAGCGUUGGCAUUUUGCAUGUUCCAUCCAGCUUUCGCUCGAGUAUGGGAAACAGACAGCUGCGCUCGUGCCUCCUCACCAGUUCGUUCCAUGGGUGGUGGUCGACGGCAAGCCGCUCUAUAACGUAAGGGGCCGUUUUCUUCGUCUUUGCGACGGGACAGUUUUUUUUUUGCGAGGGACGGGACAGUUUCAUGUCUGAAUUUCACCAUCUAUAUAUGCAUAAGCGAGUCCAUGAAUCAAUCAUGUCUUGGUAUCAGGAUUACGGGAACUUCAAAGCUUACGUCUGCAAGGCGUACAAGGGCUAUCCCCUCCUCGAGGCGUGUCGAAGCCUGGGCCUGGAGGCAGACAACAAUGUAUACGGCCCACUUUGAUCGUGCCGAUGAUGAUGCCAUCGGCAACAUUAGGAUGGUCCUGCCGGAUGGUGAUAAUAAUAAUUGAUAAGUUAUGUUUCCUUUUGGGGAUCAUACAUCUGAACAUAGGGCAGUUCAAUCUCUCUGUUAAGGUUAAUAAAUCGAGUGGUUGUGCUCUUAGAUUGAUCUGGUUUGUUGGGUUGACAUGUGAAAUCAAUACCUGGAUCCUGGAGUACAUGCUCUGUUGAAAAAAAAAAGAACCAGUAUAGAAAGUUUGGGUCAUCUAGACUAUGCUGAAUGCCAAAUUUAUCAUGCAAAUUUGGUCGUGGCAGUUUUUUU